AUUGAACGCUGGCGGCAGGCCUAACACAUGCAAGUCGAACGAGUGGCGGACGGGUGAGUAAUGUAUGGGACACUGCCCGAUGGAGGGGGAUAACUACUGGAAACGGUAGCUAAUACCGCAUACCCUCGGAUGUGCCCAGAUGGGAUUAGCUAGUAGGUGGGGUAACGGCGCACCUAGGCGACGAUCCCUAGCUGGUGUGAGAGGAUGACCAGCCACACGGGAACUGAGACACGGUCCAGACUCCUACGGGAGGCAGCAGUGGGGAAUAUUGCACAAUGGGUGAAAGCCUGAUGCAGCCAUGCCGGGUGUAUGAAGAAGGCCUUCGGGUUGUAAAGCACUUUCAGCGAGGAGGCGUUACUCGCAGAAGAAGCACCGGCUAACUCCGUGCCAGCAGCCGCGGUAAUAC
rnacentral:rRNA from 1 species